UGGGGUGUGGCCAAGCGAUAGAGCAACAGGCUUUGGUUCCAUUACUCGGAGGUUCGAAUCCUUCCGUCCCAG
rnacentral:tRNA from 1 species